AUGUUUACUGUGGGCUUAGACGUUGAUACGCGUGCCUACUUCACCGCAGCUACCAUGAUCAUAGCUGUGCCCACAGGAAUCAAAAUCUUUAGUUGGAUCGCUACCAUGUGGGGAGGUUCGAUACAAUACAAAACACCCAUGUUAUUUGCUGUAGGGUUCAUCUUUUUGUUCACCAUAGGAGGGCUCACUGGAAUAGUUCUAGCAAACUCUGGGCUAGACAUUGCUCUACAUGAUACUUAUUAUGUGGUUGCACAUUUCCAUUAUGUACUUUCUAUGGGAGCCGUUUUUGCUUUA
rnacentral:rRNA from 1 species